rfam:Oryza meridionalis cultivar OR44 (W2112) chromosome 11, whole genome shotgun sequence.
GGUCUAUUAGCUCAGCUGGUUAGAGUGUCCUGCUAAUAACGCGAAGGUCGCAGGUUCGAGACCUGCAUGGGCCA